CAGGGCAUCGUUUGUGCUACAUAAGUUAAUUGCUGAGUAAAGGGUUUAAACCUAGAAAACUCGAAGACGCACAGUUGUUGUUUCCAUGAAGAUCGUUCGGAGAGAUUUCGUUCCCGACGGCCCCGGAAGCGUUAAGAUGAUUCCUGAUGAAGCAGAUGAUUUGUGGCUCGCUUAUAACCUAAUUGCUCCAGGUGAUACUGUCAUGGCUGUUACCAUCAGAAAAGUUCUUAGAGAAGCAGCUUCUGGAUCAAGAGAAGCAGAACGGGUGAAAUUGAAACUUGAAAUCAAAGUUGAGAAUGUUGAUUAUGACAAAGAAGGUGGUGUGCUAAGAGUUCGUGGGAAGAACAUCCUGGAAAAUGAGCAUGUAAAAAUAGGGCAAUUUCAUACACUUGAACUUGAAUUAAAAAGGGCUUUUGUGCUAAGAAAGGUGUUAUGGGACACACUAGCAAUAGAAGCACUUAAACAAGCCUCAGAUCCUUCUGCCAGUGCUGAUCUGGCAGUGGUGCUAAUGCAAGAAGGGUUGGCACAUAUUCUCCUUGUUGGUAAAAGUUUGACUAUUACACCUUCUCGGAUAGAAGCCUCAAUUCCUCGCAAGCAUGGACCUUCUGUUGCUGGUUAUGACAAAGCUUUGAAUAAAUUCUAUGAGAAUGUUUUACAGGCGUUUGUGAAGCAUAUUGACUUCAAGGUUGUUCGGUGUGCUGUUAUUGCAAGUCCAGGAUUCACAAAGGAUCAAUUUCAUCGCCAUUUAAUGUUGGAAGCAGAAAGAAGAGAUCUAAGGAACAUAAUUGAGAACAAAUCACGCAUCAUUCUUGUGCAUUCGACUUCAGGAUACAAACAUAGUUUGAGAGAAGUUCUCGAUGCUCCGAAUGUGAUGAAUAUGAUCAAAGAUACAAAAGCAGCCCAAGAGGUCCGAGCACUUAAGGAUUUCUACACCAUGCUUUCAAACGUCAGGAUCCACAUCGUGCAUGUUAUGGACCAAAGCAUGUUGAGGUUGCGCAUGAACGAAUGGCUGUUCAGACAUUACUUAUCACAGAUGAUCUUUUCAGGAGUUCUGAUGUAGCUACAAGGCAAAGAUACGUAAAUUUGGUCAACACAGUAAAGGACUCAGGGGGCUCGGUUCAUAUAUUUUCUUCAAUGCAUGUCUCAGGGGAGCAACUGGCACAACUGACUGGAGUCGCUGCAAUACUUCGUUUCCCCCUUCCGGACCUUGAUGACAUCGAGAUGUAAUUUAUGCUACAGAAAUUAAUUAAUCAGAGUGUUUUAUACUUAUGGAUUACUGAAUAUACCCAUAGUGUUUCUUAUAAUGUGUAACCUCUUCAUGAGUUAUAGACUUCCUUAUUAUGAUAA